GACGUAGGGGGCCAGCGUUGCUCGGAAUUACUGGGCGUAAAGGGUUCGUAGGCGGUGCGGCAAGUCGGAAGUGAAAUCUCCAGGCUUAACUUGGAGGCUGCUCCCGAAACUGCCGUGCUAGAGUGUGGGAGAGGCGCGUGGAAUUGCAGGUGUAGCGGUGAAAUGCGUAGAUAUCUGCAGGAACACCCGUGGCGAAAGCGGCGCGCUGGACCACUACUGACGCUGAGGAACGAAAGCUAGGGGAGCAAACAGG
rnacentral:rRNA from 1 species